rnacentral:rRNA from 1 species
UACCAGCACCCCGAGUGGUCGGGACGAUUAUUGGGCCUAAAGCAUCCGUAGCCGGCCUUACAAGUCCUCCGUUAAAUCCAUCUGCUUAACAGAUGGGCUGCGGAGGAUACUAUAAGACUAGGAGGCAGGAGAGGCAAGCGGUACUCAGUGGGUAGGGGUAAAAUCCGUUGAUCCAUUGAAGACCACCAGUGGCGAAGGCGGCUUGCCAGAAUGCGCUCGACGGUGAGGGAUGAAAGCUGGGGGAGCAAACCGG